GUUUGCUGGCCAUUUCUGCUUAAAGCAACGAUGACAAGAGCCAUAUCACAAUGUUUAUAAUGCAGUAGAUCUAGUAUUUGAAACGUCCUCUCUGGAGCAUGCUUGAAGAGGACACUUGACUCUGGAACUUGCUAUAUGUGGUCCCAAUUGUUUCCUGUUUCACGGCCAUUUUCAGCUGACCAAACAUAACUGAGGGUUAUUGUGACCAGCAGCAGUGUGACAAGGAGAAAUUUCAAAAAGAAAAUGAGACAUUUUUGAGAAGAAAAUGUGAGCUGAUGGAAACCUGAAUAAAAGGCAACCAUAAGUUUUUCCCCGGAAGAAACCAGAGGAGAGAAUAGGAACUGAAGACCUAACUCUACACUCUUGUCAACUCUAAAUGAAUUUUUGUAAACCACAUUUAUGUUUAUCUUGCCCUCUGGAAGCAGACAGAAAGAUACACUUAGGUUUCAGUGAUAACUGCCUGAAGUAAGGAAACAGACAGUAUGAUAACAUUCUUUUCAUAUCUCAAUGACCUUGAAUAAAAUGAUAGAGUACGUAAAUAUAAUGUAAAUUUAUUCCAGUGUCUGACAUCUACUAACUCAAGUUUACUGGAGGAACAAGGAGUUAUGUAAAAGAAUACCCUCUGCUAUCACAAGGUGACAAAAAGAAAUAUGUUGAAGGAAACACACCUGAGGAAUUCUGGUGUCAAAUACCAAAUGAAAAUGUCAAGCCACAGAGUUGGAAGCUAACAAAAAGAACAUGGAUAUUGUAAUAUUUCAACAGAAAUGUAAACAGCUUACACUGUUCGCAUAUGAUUUCAAACGCAUGCCAGAGAUCUUUUCCUGUGGGAAGGAAUAUCUGCUUAUUUUUGCAAGUGAGUACUUGUUUUAGUAAGCACAAGCUCUGUCAGAAAGGAACUUUGCACCAAAAUAGUACUAAAUCUGUAUUAUAACAGACUAGUAGACUUGUCUUGCCCAAUUAAAUAAACAACAAAAAAAAUUUGGAUACACUUGAGAGGGAAGUCAUGGUCAUUUUCAGUGAGAGAGGACAUGGGACUAAAACCCCUGGAAGCACUGGAAAUGACAAGAAAAAAAGAAGCCACAUAAAAAGAAGAUACAAUGUUCACUGCAUAUACUUUUUAAACUCAGUUUUGAAUUGUGAAGGAUUGUUUCAUAAACCCACGAUAAAACCAGAAGCCGAGUUACUUUAGCAUAGUAAUUAUGUAAUAGGAAACUUACUCAAUAUUGUUUCUGUUUUUUCUUCUCUUUAAAGAUGUGAAGUCUUUUCCUGACUUAAGGGAAGGGAAGUGGGAGUGUAGAGAAUUCCAGAUGUGCUACCUGCUGUGGACAGAAAAUGUUCUUCCAUGCCAUUAACCUUAUUCUUUUAAUUGUCAUUAUUUUUUCCCUCACUUUCUAGGAGUCGUUAAACUGAUGCCGAGAGUAAUUUUCCAAUCUCUUUACAGGUGACCUGCGGUUAUGUUAGAAAAUAUAUUCAAUUAUCAUCUUUUAUAUGAAUUGUACAGGGCACUAAAUGAAUUUGAAUGCUAACACAAAAAACAUGAUGCUGCAGGAAUAGACAAGCCCCAGCCUAAAUGAAGUCAAGUGUCACAUGUGAAUAUUGAUACUGUUUCUGAAAGAGCUUGUUCAACCUAAAAUUAUCAGACAAUACAAACAAUGGUAGUCUGCAUUAUUAAAGGCAUGAGAGAAAAUGGAAGAAAAUAGUUGGAGAUAUUGUAGCGUUUACAGAGAAAAAUGAAGAGAUUAAUGUGACAUUAAUGUGAAAUACUGAUGUUACAUCUUUGUGUUUACUAUGCAUGCAGUGUGCAUUUCUCUACUACAGGUUUUGCCGUUCUGUUUGUUGCUAUGGGCAUCAUAGUAUAUUGAACAGAAUAUGAGGAUGAAAGUUUGAUACCCUUGAGUGAUAUUAGAAUAAUUGAGAGAGGAAAAAAUGUAUGGCAUGGGCAUUUCUGAGGCCUUUUCUGAGUUAAAUUGUUCUUUAAGCAGAUUUAGAAACAAAAAUAUUAGAAGAAAUAUAGACUGAAAGUGUAUAUCAGAUGAAUUCCUCCAAUCCAGGAAAUAUAUUUUCUUUAGAAAAAUUCUUCUAUCCUGCAAAAAUAUCUAGCUGUGCAAAUAGAUUUAUGAUAUAUGCAUCUAUUUCAUUUGCCUCUUCCUCAAUAUAACGAAUUGCUAUACUUAUCAUCUCUUCAUCUCUCUAUAUAAUGGUUAAAUUAAGAAGUAAAAUAAUUCUGUUAUACCAUCUAUUUUAUGUAAAAUGCAGUGAUUUUGUUUGCUUGUUUGUUUUAAUUCAGGAAAUAGCUUAUUGAUAUUGGUC